CAAUUACAGAAAUAAAAGGAAUUGGUUGAUAAUAGACCACCCUAAAGUAUUCUAGAAUCUGUUUUAUAAUAUUGUGUCACCUUAUCUGCAUAAUAUUAUUCCUGUAGCACAAUUGCCUAAUGAAGCUUCCAGCAAUUAGUGUAGCUAUUCAUAUAAAAUUUUUCAAGUAUCUUUUCCAUAUCUUACUAUGAUUAAUUUCCUUUAUUUCCUUUCUUACUUGAAUAAGAAGAUUUUUUUAUUUUAUAUGACCACAUAAGGAAAUAUUUACCACUAUAUUUGGAAAUUUCUUAAAUUAUAGUUAAAUAUUUCACUCUUCCUGAAGUUAGUAUUGUUUGAGUAAAAGAAAAUGGAGUGAAGAGGUCAUUUAUAUAACAAAUAAAAAAUAAUAGUGACAUUGUCCAGUGCUGGAAGACACAGCCGAGUCCUCUGCCUUCAACUGAGCAUGUAAAAACCCUUUCCAUAUGUCUCCACUCAUAAUUAGUGUUUCCUUAUAAACUUGUCUCAACACUACUUACUUCCUUUCAAGCAAAGAAUAAACUAACAAAGAUACAAAGAAAAUAAUGGGAAAAUGUUUGCCCUAAUCUAAAUGUUUAAAAAUGCAUUUCAUCCUAAAAUACAAAAAAAAAAUUGGAAAAUUAAGCCAAAUAAACUUCUAGUAUCAGUCAGUCAAUGAUAGAAACAGCUGCAGCAAAUAUGGUAAUAAGAGACAGCCUAAUUGAAACAGAUGUUUUAAAAUGUGCAAUUUUAAAUGGUAUACAAACAUUGAUGUAAAGUAAAUUUUAAAUAAGAUGGAAUGGAUUGGAAACAUAAUUAAAACCCCAAAGAAACAAAAAUAAUAUUGAUGAAAACCAAAUUAGAAUGAUAGCUAAUACUCGUGUUUGCCUAGACAAUGAAUUAUUAGUCUGGAGGGUUAUAUUUUAAAAUUUUAAAUUCAGUACUACUUAGAUAAACAUGCAUUUAAUGAGGUUUUAGUAGACAUUUUCAAAGAUUAUAAAAUUCAGAGAAGAUAGAAAUCUGAAAAGUGUGCCCUCUCAAUAUUUUAAAAUACAGUUCAAUAAAUUCCUGCAAUGUAAAUUUCUAAGGAUUUUUUUUAAAAACUUCAGUAUUAGACCAUUCUAAUAGCAGCAUGUAAAAGUAUCACAUUUGCCAGGUUUUCAACUCAUCCUGGACCACUAAUUGUCAAGAAUGGUGAAGGUUCUGAGAUUUGUAUCUCCAAGUCAACAUAAGUUGCCACAGCUUCAUAGAAGAUAGCAGAAGACGCAAAGCUCGUGGAUCGGAGAAAAGGACUGCGCUGUUCACAGUAAGUCAGGCACAUGAGAACCAGAAUAAUUAUAUCAAUUCUCUUUGUCCCAGCUUCCACAAGGGUAAUGUGAAUGGGCCUACGUUUAUGACUACACACAGAGUGGGUUCCAAUGAACUUACGGAAACUAAAUACUUUAUAAUAGAAAGUAAGCAAACGUCAUUUUUUUUUUCUUUUGGAGGGAGACAUUAUUUCUAUCUUUCCAGGCACUUUGCUAUACAUCUUUGAAAAGAUAGUCCACUAUAAGAGGCUAUCAAUGCCUUUUUUUUUUUGCAAGAAAAAAUAAAUAGAAAAACAAAAUAUCCAUGGGAUAUUUUCUGUCAGUACCAGUUAUUUUCACUCUGAAAUCAUAUCCAGUCCCAGUAUUUGAGAAACCCAGGUAGCUGCUUACGUAAGAAUUCCUUGUUUGACUCUUCUGUCAUUAUUUUUAUUGGCAACACUUCUCAAUUUUAUUUUACUAUACUAACCCUGCUGUCAAGUCAUACUUGUCACAGAUAUCAACUCUUUCUCUAAUGGUCAUUCAUAUAAGGGAAUAUUGUUGGGGCAAAAGCACAAAUGGUGCCUAUUUGGAGCUGAAAAACUCAACACUGGAAAGGGCAGGAGCAGUUGUAAAAAGCUGUUUAAAGAGUUUCACCACACUCCAAUAUAGACAUUUUAAGAAUGGUCACGUAUGGGCUCCAUGGGUGCUCCAUAUCUCAUAGUAGUCA
rnacentral:lncRNA from 1 species